rnacentral:sRNA from 1 species
GACUUGAGGACCGAGGCUGGGAGCCCCAGCCUGCACUCGGCCCUACAGCUACACGUUAUCAUGAGGCUGGGAGCCCCGCCCGCGCUUGGCCUGACAGCCUUUCCUGUCACACGUUAUCACCUAUCUAGUCCUACCGACGGUUUCAAGGAAGUGGAUCCGUGACAUUCUGCAGCUAGUCCACUACUCCAAGGUAACUAUCGACUUGGUUUUAGUGAAUCUAUUUUGUUUU